AAGUCGUAACAAGGUUUCCGUAGGUGAACCUGCGGAAGGAUCAUUAUCGAAUUAGAAACGAAUCCGGAGGAUGGAGGGAGCGGGCGAAAUCUGGCAUGGAUUGGACUGUCGCUGGCGACUUUGGAAACGAAGUUUGCAUGUGCACGUCCAUCCUUCCUUAGUCCUCGCUGUCUCGCCUUUGGAGGGAAACGAAACCCAUUACACCUGUGCACCUAUUGUAGGUCCCUUCGCGGGGAUCUAUGUCUUUCCCUUCACACCAAACGCAUGUCUAUAGAAUGUCUUUGACGUGUCGAUCGGCAUGGCCUAACGCCUUGUCGGAGACCGUAAAACUAUUAUACAACUUUCAGCAACGGAUCUCUUGGCUCUC
rnacentral:misc_RNA from 1 species